GUUCCACAUUCUUUUGGGAUUUGGGCACAAUGAACAUGCCUUCCGCUUUCUGGAGAGUCCUGGCUGUGUUUCCUUCACCCUUUCCUCCUCUUCUCUCUGCUUUUCCUUGCCUUCCUCCUGAUGGACCUGGCCCUGGGCUUGGAGGACGAGGCUGGCUGCAAAUGGUCCUCUGGGCAAAUGGCUCCUGUUUGCAAUGGCCAGGGUUAUGAGAGGUCUGCCAAGCUGCCGCAGGAAGAGAUGGCACUUGAAGCUCUAGCCACUGUUCCAGCUUGGGUCAACAAAGGUGAACAGGAAGCAUAGCAUUGAAGCACGACACAACAACCAAGUGAAAAAACAGACACAUGAGCCAGCAGUGUGUCCGCCUGUGGCAGGAGUAGGUGCCAGAAGCCUGCGGAAAAAAAGCUAACAAUCAGAUGAAUUUAUUACACAACCAUGUGUAAUGAGUAACUAAAUACCAGUAAGUGAAAUAAAUGAGUGAUGUGUAGUUACCUGGUCUAGGUGGUCGACAGUCCCUUUGCCUCUAUUGUAGUCCAGGAUGAUCGUUUUAUUUAUUUAUUUUUUCCCAGAUGCCUGGACCUCUAGCUCCCUAUGUCUUGUGCUCAAAAGAAGGACAUUUUUCCUUUUCUUCAGGACAUAGGUCACAGUGGUCUUGUUGUGCAUAAAGACAAACUCAGAGGAAAGCACCUCUCUAUGUUUAGUGUUGAGCAGCUGCAGAGGGAGCUCAGGUUUGUUUGACCUCAGUGUCCCAAUCAGGGCCAUCUUCCUCUUCUGCAGCUCUUCAGCAAGAGGAAAAAAUGUAAAAAAAAGUUGUCUGUAGUUACAGUGUGGCCCCCAAGCUCAUCUGUGAGCUCCAGUACAACGCGCAUGCCCUGGUUGUGCUCAACUGGUGCUGAGACAGACCUCCCCAAGUAGACUUGGAGCCUACAUGCAUAGGAGGUCUUAACAUCACACAGAGCCCAAAUCUUAAGGCCAUACUUUCCAGGUUUGGAGGGCAUGUAAUGCCUGAAUGAACAGCGUACCCUAAAAGGAACCAGCUGUUCAUUCAUACAGAUGUCCCUUCCUGGGUUGAACAUCUUGGGGAAUCGGCUGCUCCAUCGGGGCCCACUUACCCCUAUGUGGUGUUCUGGCCACAACAGUUCAUCAUCAAACCGCAGGGCCAGGUUGAUCUGCAGAAUCUUUUUUCUCACAUAGUUGCAGCAAAAAUGGCGUGUCCAGUUUCCUUGUCCCACAAGCUUCUGACUGAUUCAUGCUGUGACUUGAACAAGUCAGCCAAAAAUCACCAGCCCCAGGUAGGCACGCAGCUCCUGUGAACUUAGGUCCCUCCAGGCAUUCAGUGACCUCCUCCCCUGCAGAUUGGUGAAAUGCAGGAUAAGCUGCAGGAUUUAAAAGGGGAAAAAAGGCCAAAUGCACGUUGAGGGCUCCUGAUCCUAGCCAGAGCAUAUUGUGCUCUAUUUUCAUGCCUCGCCGGUGCAGCCUGGUGCAGGUGCAGCAUAAGUCAGGUCUGCCACGCCAAUGAGGCAUGCCCAAGCACACUUUGGUAUUUUGGUGAGCAGCACAGCUCCCCCCUUCCUAACUCAGCUUCUUCCAGCGACGUAAGUAGUAGAGAGGGAGGGGAUAAGGCGUGGAGUGGAUUUAACACAGCCGAGUUCUGUUUUCACCAAUCAAAUCAGCUCCUCUCCUCACCUUUAAAUUCCCCACCAGCGAGGCGUGUUAAAAUUUUCGUGAAGUAGUCAAAGAGAUCAAGAGAUGGCUAAAGACAGCAAUGCCACACAAUGGCGACAAGAGGUAGCCCCUCCACAAGUGUUGCGGUAAGCGCUGUGGAGGGUGUCCUCCACACUCUCUCGAAUAAGCACAGAGUCCCUCCCAGCCGCAGUCAGAGGACACGUGAGCACCCCUCCGCAUCAAGACUACUGCAAAUAAAUCGCGCAUGGGUGAAGCCGCCGCUGGUUAUUUAAAACCAAACAAAAUUUGAAAAACUUCCAAAAAAAAACAAAAAAACUUCAAUAACUCCGCCAAAUUGUCUUAACUGGGUCAUUUUUGCCUGGGUAAAGGAGGAGGGUUGGUAUUGUGACAUAAAAAAAAAAACAAGAAUUGACAGAGGAAAGUUCAUUUGUAGUUCUAAACAUAUUUGGGGCAUUUUUUACUCACUUUUUGUCUCUCCCACGACGUUGUUCCUCUUCCUCCCAAUUAUGCAAAUUAGGCGAUGACGUCAUUUAGGGACUUCUAAAGACUAAUAGGAUAGACAAUAGCUACUUUCCUUACUGUUGGCAAAACUGCACACUCUUUCAUUACUUGUAAGUGCUUUAAAGAGCAAGACAUGAAAAACUUUGGAUGAGAUCAUGAAUAGAAAGAUGAAUGAAUGACAGAGCGAGGUCUAAAUUCUGUACACCUGAAUGAUAGAAAAUAUUGACUGUUUGCAUGUCUUUUUGAAGUGACCAGAGGCUUGGCUCUGCAGCUGCAUGGCUGGAAACUUGACAUGGUUAAAAACAGGAAGCACAAAGGAAAGCUGUUCACAUUUUGGACUUGCUGGACAGUUCAAAUCUCUUUCUCUCCCCACUAAAAGACCUCAAUAAACAUUUUGAAAGUUAUUCUCUGAAUUUUGCAUUACUGAAAUUUGGAAAAACUGUGGUUUCAGUUUGAAUAAAUAUGCAUGUAAUUUUAUUGACUGUGAGUUACUGUAACAUGUGCUGUAAGUAAUGUAACGUGCAUAACUGAAACAGUAAUAUGUGCAGGCUUGGAUUGCCUCCAGGGUGAUUACAGCUCUGUUUGUUAGCGCUGUUUUUGUUGAUGGGCACUAAUGGACUUUAAUGCUCUCCUAACAACCGUAUCUGAUUUGCCUUUUGUUCCUUUCAUAGUUAAUAAAGCCUUCAGUGUUUGCGGCCAUAUAAUGAAUGUAAAUAAAGAUGGUAAUAAGCUGCUGCACAGAAGAGAGUCUCUUUUGCACGCUUCAACAAAAAGAAAGUCUGCUGCUCCUGUGAUCUAGAAAGUAGUUCAAGAGUAGAUGGUGAGGUUUAUUCAGGUCAUGACUCGUGAUGAAAAUAAGUGAUUCUGUCCUUCAAACAUGCAGAAGAAGCAGCUUUGCUGGAAUACUUGAGAACAUCACUAAUCGAUUAUUUUUCCAUCAUGGAGAUGCUGAGGGGAUAUUAGUGCAACAGCGUUUCAAUGGAAAAGAUCAAACUCCAGAGCUCUGAGUCUUACAUGGUUUUAUCUCCACAGAUGAUGAAAAUUUUGGGGAUUAAAUGUAAUAAACAAAAAAGUGUUCACUGUCACUCAUUUCUUAACUUCUCCUCUUUCAUCAGCUGCAAACUUUCAACGCUCCUCUUCCUCUUUUUAUCAUCUUUUAUCAUCUCUUUUUGCCGUCUUUCUCCCUCCUUUCCCCCCUCUUCAUCCACCCCUCCUUGACCUCCCUCCUUCACUCCUCAUCAUUCCUCUCCUCCUUGCCUUCACUCCUCUUCUGUACUUCUCCUCCCGUCUCCCUCUCUCAUCUUCUUACAUCACCCUCCCCCCUUCUCGCCUUUUAACAUUUCAAUUCCCGGCAGUCCCUCUUUGACUCCUCUGCCGUCAUUUCCUCCUCUCUCCCUCUUUUUUCAUCACCCUUAUCUCCUCGCCUUUUUUAUUUACAGCUCUCUUUUGGAUCAUCAAAUUCCCUCAUCCCUCCUUCUCUUCUUGCUCUCUCUGUCUCCUCUGCUGCUCUCUUAGGGACAUCAUUCUGUCAUUCUGCUUUCCUUUUCAUGCAGACUUUCUCUUCCUUGUGCAGCAUUUGACUAGGUGCAAAAUAGAUGUAUAAGUUGAUUUAAUAAUGUCACUUUCUAGCAGUUGUUUUGAUCUUGCAGGUAUGAAAUCAUCAGGCUGUCCCUGUCCUUUCAGACCAGGAUAAGCCUGAUCUUAACUAUUGCAUGGAAACAUCUCAGGUGCAGCUAAACCUCAAACACAUCGCUGUUACCUACAGGCCCGGAUUAAACCUUCUGUGGCCCCUGAGGCUAAGCAAACCUAAUGGCCCCCCUCUGUCCCGCGCGCGCAAAAAAAUUGGCAGUUUUUUUUGGUCAUUUUGUGGAAAUUACUGCAGGUAUGGGUGGUUAUUUAAUGGUUCCACUAGCCACCACCUCUAGCCAAACCACUGGGUUAAUACAACUGUGUGUCUGAACUCAAUUCAACAAGAGGUAGUGAAAAAAGUCUUCAAGGAAAGCACAGAGGCUGGUGUACAGUUCACUUUUUUACUGUAGAAAACCUCAGGCAUUUUAAAUUAUAAGUAUAUAGCAAUCAUUAUAAAUAAAAGUGCAAGGCAUGAUAUGAAGGCCUGUUAUGGUUAUACAAUUUGUUUUGUUUAAAGGAUUGCUACACUGAGAUUUGAGAUUUUUAUUAUUUUUAUAUUUGUUCUACAUUUGUCUGCGUUUGUGUUUUGAUCUUUAUUUUCAUAUUCUGGAGGGACUGAUAAAUGUCAGAGGUUUUGAAUAAAUGUUUUAUACCAUAUUUUGAAUUAAUUCAGACCUUUUGUGCAUUUAUUUUUGUCUUGUUACAUUUUUUCCAUUAUUCCAAUUUUGGGGAGCGUGGUAGCAAUUUGACUGACUUUCAGCCAUUUAUGGCCAUGAUGUGCUGUUUAUAUUUGAUUGCUUUUAUUACACAGUAGGUUGUGUCAUUUUUAUGUAUGAAACAUAAGCUUUGAGCUAAAUUUACUGUAUAUUUCAUUGUGCUGGGUGCAAAUCACUUGAGUUGAGACGUUUUCUUCAAGAAAUUUGCUACAUUUCAUAAUCUGAAUUCACUUAUGCGUAUACUAAGGCACCGAUAACUGUUUCAGAUGUUGGGUAGAUGUAUUUAUGACAUUUGAGAAAGAUUUUGUCUUGCCAGAAUCAACAUAGCAGUUUCUACAAGCAAAAACAGCAGCACCAUAUAAUCGUUUUUUGUGUUACUCACAUAUAUGUACAUUUCUGGCUGUUCUUUUGUCUCACCCUGUAGAGAAAGCCACUUUCUAAUACUAGUUCUGUAAGUUUCCCAACGUGUCCUUGUAAAAUCGAGAACGUCUUCACUCUGGACAGAUGAUAGAUGCAUAUAGCAUCAUUUCGUUCCUUUUUGAUGCACCUUUGAAAGCUGUUUUCUUUUGUUCCUUCUCUUUUCUUCCUCUUCGCUUGUCUCGCUGGUAGACGCGCUCGUCGCCAUGUUUGUGUAUUUCUGAUACUAUGGCAACGAGACUCGGCUCCUAUUGGUCCACGUGACAAAAAUCGCUUCACCCCUCUGCAUAUUCGAUUGCGCUUGUGCAAGUAUCACUGCGCCGCAGAAAGGAAAUAGUUCGACACCGAAACACUGAUUACUAAAAAUCGACAGGAUGGCAUGAGUAGAUAUUUUUUUUUUAGUACUAACUAUCAAUAGAGCUUUUUUAUGAAUAACAGUCUAUGUUGCCCCACUGAAGUGGAACGAGAUUCACUUUCUAGGCACUUUUUCUUCUGUCUCAAUACAGCCUAAUCCUCCUCACACCGGGCGCAGCUCAUCAGCGUCAUAGUGGCUUCUGCUCGGGCUGAGUGGCCCCCCAUAGCCAAACGCCCUGAGGCUUCAGCCUCACUAUGCCUCAUGGUUAAUCCGGCUCUGGUUACCUAAUACGCUCAGUAAAUCAGUAACAUGUGAGAAAGUUAGUUAGUCUAUAACUCCUGAGUCAUUCUUGAUGACUCUGAAUAAUUGUAGAGGGGGCAGAUGUGCUUGUUUAGUUGACCAUACAUUUUAAUAUUAUCACCAGUCGGGUUGGGUAUUGAGUCUCGAGAAUCGUUCGGGACCGGGAAUAGCAUUCCGAUUCUCCCGGAAUCAUUCAAAUUUUAAAAUUUUGAUUCCAAAUUUCAAUGCCAGAGUCCGCCGACCGGAAGAAAUAGCCACCGAACACCAAUGAGGAAGAUGCCGCUAAACACCAACGAAGAAAAAGCCGCCGAACACCAACGAGGUCGAAGCAUAUGAGACGAAGCAACAGAGAGAGAGAAGAGAGACAGAGAGAGAGAGUAAACAUUGCAACCCACCGCGGCUGCGGUCAAAAGUUUAACUAACUUUAGCAGGAAGAAUGAACUCUUAUCUCAGUGUAACAUUAGCAACACAGUUAUAUCAUGCAAAGGAGGAUAAAGGACCGACAUGAUUAAUCAUCUCAGGAUUCAAGAAGGAGAAAUACCCGAGUGCCUGUCUCUGACGCGCUUCGCCGGUGUUGUGUCGUAGAAUGCACCCUGCUGUCGAAUGCACCUCAGACGGGAGCGCGGUUGAAAGUACUUAACAAGGCGAAAUAAUCCAAGUUUUCCUUUCCAUUGGAAAGGUUCAAAAGCAUUUGCCUGUAAUGAUUUCAUUCAGGCUAUUCAGAUAGGCCAAAAACAAUAGCCCUCUGAUUUGGAAUAUUUGCUGUCACAAAAAUAUAAUGUUCUCUACCUUGACAGCUUACUAUACAGUCUAUACAUCCAAGUACACCUCUAUAUGUGCAUUUUUGAGACACAUAAAAACAAAACAAAAUUUUGCUGCUCCACUUGACAUGUCAUGAUCUAAUACUCGUGUUUUUUUCUUUAAAUAAGAGAUCAUUUUCUUCCACUUUAAGAAGCUAAUGAGUGGAAGUGAUGCAUUCUACGGCAGGGGUGCAUUCUACGGCACAACACCCGUCUUCCGCUAACCAGUCAGGAUCAGAUAAGUGAAACAAUAAAUUACUUCUGUCUUCUGCUAACUUUGAAGUGUCAAACAAAUUGUACUGUGUACGGUGGGUCAACUUAAAAUAUCCAACUAAUGUUAGCCCUUGUACUUUUUCAUAGACAAAUGACCUGACAACAAAAAUUGAUAUUUAUAUACUUGUUGAAAAUAGCCCUGUGAGAAAUUAAGUUAAGUUCUUAAAAAGUUAAUGUAAUUAAAAAAUUCAUUGAGAAGUUCAGAAAUUUCAUCCAAAAAGAAGAACUCCAGUUAGCGCCCUCAUUUAAACCAUGCACUUUUUAAAAAAAUAUCCUGCCUUUUAAAGAAUUGGAAUAGAGAAUCGAUAGGAAUAGGAAUCGGAAUCGAAACGAGUAAUCGGAAUCGUUUAAAAUCAAACGAUACCCAACCCUGAUCACCAGUAGGCAUACCACUUGCAUGUAAAGAAGUUGCAGGUAUUAAAUUAUUGUUGGCUCAAAAUGUUGGUGAUAUGCUGUGUAUGAACUGUAGCGCAGCCUCCCACCACUAUUUGUGACUACAGCUCCAGUCAGUGGCUACUGUCAGGGCUCCAUUACCUACCACUGGUAGUCUAUUAUACUCUGAUUAACAGUUUAAAAGCACAAACAGAUUUAAAAUCCUCAAUUUAAAUCUGUCUUUCUGACGCAGACACACUCUCCUCCUUUGAGAGUCAGCUUGAAACGUUCCUGUUUGAUAAAGCUGGUAGUUAGAUCUGGUUCCGGUCAAGACCACCUCUUAGUUACGCUGCUGUAGACCAUAGACUGUAUAUAGAAUAGACACUGUCUGCCUUUUCGCUGGGUGAAGCCACUGUGAGAACAGCACCCUCUGGUGAUGAGCUGCAGUAGAGGUCAUAAACCCUGCCUCCUCCAGCAAUCCCUAUGGAGCUGUGGACAAACUUUAGAAAUUUAUUACACAGAAUAAUUUUUUUUUCUCCCCCCUGGUUGUGACGUUGACAUGUAGUUACUGUGAGACUGGUUUGUGCUCUUUUUUCUGUGCUGCUCUAUAUUUAAAAGUUAUUAGGGGGUUCAUGAUUUCUAUGAUUGACAUUUGAUACAGCCUAUGGGCAUUCGAAGAUUGCAUAGCUCACCCGGGGGAUACGCUGUUUGAGCAGAGCGUCAUCACAGUGACUCUCCCAUCAAAUGCAUAUAACAAUGCUGCGCAAGUGGUGGUUCCAGGAAGUGGAGGAAAUCCUGGAAAUACAGAGAGCAAUGCAGCUUCAAAUUUGUAUACUGGCGGAAGGCGGAACCAGGUUGUCCAUAGUAUAUGCAGUCUAUGGUGCUGACACACUGAGCAUUCUUCCCUCCUUCUUCAUCCCCUUUUCACUUUGACUCAUCAUUUCCCAUCAGAGUCACUGAUACAUACUGGGAGUCCCUGAGCCUCAUCACACUGUAGGUUCCUCUGGAUCUCAGUGUCUGACAUGGACCUGUCUGCUCUCCAGCUGCUUCAACUCCAAACACCAGUCUCUCCUCUGUCCAUCUCAGUUCCAUCUCAAGCUUUGUCCAUCACAAACCCCUCAGACCUCUCAAACUCUCAGCUGUCAGUUGAAGAUUUUAUGCACAGUUCGAGAUAUUCAGGGUCUACUUUAGUGCCUCUGUGUCAUCCUGGAAGACAUCUGAGAUUUAUGUUUUCUUUGUUUUUCAGUUUUUACCCUCAGUGAGUUAAAUCGAUGUGACAGGGCUGAACUGUUGUACUUUAAAAUGUUAAAUGGAGGGAUUUUCCACCUCUCUAUUCUUGUCUCAACAACAUUCACGCUUGAUCAGAGCUUGUUUGUAAGACUUGUUGUCUGACCAUGACAGAAAUCGAAGGUGUUAUUCCUAAGAGCUAGAGCUGAAGCUUGAGUGAAAGCAAAUGACCAGAGAAAACUGGAGGACAGGAAACAGGAGGUAGAAUUAUUAUUAUUUUUUUUGUUCGUUGUUGUUCACAUCAAAAAUAAGGUAAAAUAAGUGUGCCAGAGAACAAAAAAGACAGUACAAGCAGAAACUCCGAACCCUGUUUCUUCACCCCUGUCAGAUUUUCAGCUUUGAAUAGUUAAAGAAACAAUCACACAGACGAGCCUGAUCCGUAAAACUGUGACAGAGGGUCUCUGAAGGUGUGUGUGACAAACUGAAAACUAAUUCAGAAAAAGCGCUGUGGCAGCCUCCUCCUCCUUUUUCUGUGAUUCUGUUCACUUCCUCUACAUCUCAAAAACAUGAAAAUAUGGGAGUGGCGCAGCACGCGGCAUGGCUCUAUCCACAGCAAUAUCAGACACUAAAACCAACAUCAACCUGCUUGUGUGUGUGUGUGUGUGUGCAACAACACCAUUCACCAACUUGCACCAAAAAGGAUGUUAUUUCUCUGAUUUUGGAGAAACUGGAGCAUUUAUAUAAAACUCUGAAACUUUAUUCUCAUCGACCUUUACCCCAGCCGCUCAGUCUCAGCUGCCAUUGUGUGUCAGUUCUCUGAUGGAGAGGGAUUUUGUCAUCUUUAGUUAAGGCUCAUGUGUCAUGAAACAGACUUAAAUUCAUAUUAAUGCCUCUUUUGAGCUGUAAAACCAAACCCAAAGAUCUUUGGAGUGUUUCUGCAUAGUAAUUCACAGACGAUUCACAGCUCGAGAUGUUGAGUUAAAAUCCUGUGAUUUCUCCUUUGCUUCUUCACCUUCACAGCCUUCCUCUGUCCUUAUGCUCUUCUCUCUUACUCUCCCUCCCUCCCUCCCUCCCUCCCCAGUUCCCUGGGGUCUGCUAAGGCAGAGAUAACCACUGUGUGUUGGUGCUGUGUUACAGUGUCUGGGUACUGAAGAUAAGUUAUCUUAAGAGGGCUUACACCCUGAGAGCAUGAACACAAACCCAACUGUUCACACACACACUCUCUCUCUCUCUCUCACACACACACACACACACACACACACUAAGCAAUCAUGCAGGCUCUAGUGUGUACAUGUAUGUGCACAGGCCUUGCGAACAGCGUGAGGUCCUUGCACACUCACAUAAUAACACAUACACUGCAAAAAAAUAUAUAUAUCACUGCAGGGACGGAAACAUUCCCCGGCUGCUGUGUGUGUAAUCAUCUUCAUUCACAACACUGGAGAUCUGACAAAUUCUCUGGAUUUGACCGUCGGGCCAAAUACAACAAGCCGAGGUCAAAGCUGUGUGGCCUGCACCCUCCAGUCUCAACAUUGUACAUGGACAAAUGUGCAGCAUGUGUGUCAAUUUAAGCUGUGUUCAUGACAUGAAAAUAUCCCCAAACAGCUGUAGGAGAUAUAUGCGCUUAGCAGAUCAAUACAUUCUUUAGAAAUGAACAUUUUAAGUACUUUAAGUAUGUUUGAAGGAGAAAAAUGCAGCCCAGGGGCCUGUUCUACGAAGCAACUUCAACCUAGCGAGGUAGCUUUGGAGCUACUUCGUUCAACUUAGCGCGGUAGCCAGCGGUCUCGCUAAACAGUCUUACGACACUGGUUAUCAACCUUGUAAGUGGAUCCAGCUUUGCUAUGAGUGCGUGCACACAUGUAAGGCGGAGCCCGCGGAAUCUGACCAAUCGUGAACAUGGACCAGUCCGGAGCGUCAGAGCAGGCCAGAGAGCGAAGGACCGCGUACUUUACAAACGAGGAGCAGGAGACGAUCAUGAGAAAGUAUGAAGAAUUCAAGUCUAUCAUAAACCUCAAAAGCAACACCGUCAACGCUGCAAAAGCACAGAAGGAAUGCUGGCAGAAAAUUGCCAACAGUCUCAAUGCGGAAGUAUAGAGCACAAAAAAUCUUUGAUGCCAUUGUCACCCUGAAAUAGCACUGUUCAACAUGCGCUUUUAACAUGCACCAGACAUGUCUAAUUCAUUUCUAAGAUGAAUUCAUUCAUUUGUUCAUUUCUAUCGUGUUUACAUUCCGGAAAAGUAAGUGGGUCCGUGCGGUCCCUGAAAACUCUUGCGCGCCUGAGUGUUCCUCAGACAAUGCGAGCACCGAGGUCUAUAGGAUCCUCCAAGAACGGACAAGCCAUUUUUUCAGAGAGCUCAUUGGUCAGUGGGCGGGGUUUUUAUACUCGGUGAGUUCAAUCUGGAACCUAACCUGCCCCAGAGCAGGUUAGCUGUUCAGCGUAUAUUGCCAUGGAGACUCGCCUCGCUAAGAAGUGAACCCGCGUCAUAGAACAGGAAACCCCAAACUUAGCCUCAAAGUUACCUCGCUAAGCAGUAAUCCUGCUUCGUAGAAUAGGCCCCUGGUGAGAGUGACACUGCUGUUUUUAUACUAGCUAUAAUAAUGAGAGUAAUGACAACGAUCAUCUCGAUAACCAUUCAUCAAAAGCGAUAUUACACAAAAUAAAAGUCCCCAAUACAGGACAGACACACCAGUGAAAAGACAACAAAACUUAAAAUAAGGGCUGAAUAAAAGGAUUGAAGCUCUUAUAAGGGGUUGUCCAUAAAAUGGACUGAGACUCAUAAAUAUGUUUUUUCAUGUUAUCCAAAAGCAAAUAAGACCAUGUGCAGUUUUUGUGGGAAUUUUUACAUUUUUAUUUUUAACGUUAGAACGGGAUGCAACGAGGCAGGUGUGAAGAAAAAGCCAUGUUUUUAGAAUUGCUCUAUAAAAUAGUCACAACAAAUUAUAUAUGACAGUCUAACGCUAGCAGGAUAAGGGCUUUGCAAAAAUUACUAUUUCAGCGUGUUUGGGAUAAGGUAUACAGAUUGAUUUACUGAGAAAAAUCAAAAGUUCCCUACAGGAGCUUUAAAGAGGUACAAAAAUAUUUCAAAGUGGCUUAAUAAAAGAAACUUUAAAUGCAUAAAUGAAACCAGCAGCGAAAAUAAUGUGUAAAAAUGACAAACUGCCCAACACUGCCCAACCUCAGUUCUGAAUUUGUUUAAUUCAGUGCAUCUUUGCAGCCAGGGUCUUUUAAUAACUGCAUGCAGAGGUGCCUCUGUUAGCAAGUGCAAAGACUAACAACCAAUCAGAAAAACAUGGCAUGUGACACAGAGCAAAGCAUAAACAGACAGUGACAUGCAUUUGAAAACAUGUCACCUGUUUACAGGUGCUGUGAUAGCUAGGUCAAAAUCCACAGGGUGAAAAAAGACAGCAGAAAGAGCAGAAAGGGCUGCAGUGGAAGAGUUUAAAGCCUUUAAAACCUCCAAAUAUAGAUGGCAACUAACAGAGCGAUCCAAUUUAUUCCAUGUUUUAUAAUCAUGACCUUUAACCUCUUGCUAAUGGUGUAGUUAUGCUGUCAGAUGUCUGAUAUCAGAUUGAGCCACAUAAUGAAGACCCCCUGCUCUCCCUGAGGAAGUCCCUGCUGAGUUUCCCAUCGUCUUCAGGGCUCACUCCAGUUUCAGUCACCUACACAAAGGCUGAAGCGCGCAGGUCCGGCUGACGUAACUCGUUCACAAAACUGCUAUUGGUCGGACAGAUAGUUUUUUAAAUAUUUGUGGAUUCACCAGCAUAAUACUCGGCAUUAUGAUAAUGACCCCAUUUGCUUCAAUUUUCCAAACGCUGGCAAUGCA